UCGACGAAUACUUAGUCAAGAUCAUUGCUAUAGUAUUUGUGAUGUUUUAUUGUUAUAAAUAAACAGAUUAUCAAAAGUGAUGAUGAAUUGGCGCGGCUCCUAAUUUGAAAUUCUUUUCGUUUUUUCACAGUUUCGAAAGAAAUUGUUAAAACAUUGAAAUUUAGAUGAUAAUUUUUAGCAAAAAAAAUAACUCCUUUUUUGCUAAAUAAUGUGAGCUUUGUCGUCUGCUGAACUUAC
rnacentral:snoRNA from 1 species